rnacentral:tRNA from 1 species
GCCUCUAUAGCUCAGUUGGUAGAGCAACUGAUUUGUAAUCAGUAGGUCGCGGGUUCGACUCCUGCUGGGGGCACCA